ensembl:lncRNA
CAGGAAGCCUUCAAACAAUCCCCGGCCGCUCAUUUUGCUCCUUUUGCCCCAAGUCUGGCUGGAAAAGUGGCCAAACCAGCUCCUCCACUUCCCCUUCGCAGGAAAGUUAAAAGUGGAGGAGGAGAGCCAGCCAGAAGCCCUCUUCCCCGGGGCAGACCUGCGCCUCGGGGCUGGGCCAGCCCGAGGCUCCUCUUAGGAAGAGAUGGGGCAGCGGGCAAGAGGUUCAGGUCAAGAAGGGACUGGGGAAAGGGAGCUCCUGGGCCCCUGGGCCCCGCUCCGGUCUCUGGCUCCCACUUGGCUUCCACAAGCCCGACUUGACAAAGGGAGCCUGAAGAGAGCCUCUUGGGGCCACCGGGCGCCCAAAGAACCGGCCGGGGCCCAGGGCACUGCUCCAGCCGCAGCUCGGCAGCUCCUCCUAAGGAGCUGAGGGCUUGUGCGACCCCCUCCCCAGCUGGAUGCUCCCGGCGCUGCCCUCUGUCCGGGCUUCUCCUUGGGCUCUAUCUCCAGGGUUUAGCAGCCAGUGCCUGGCACCGGGCCGAGCUUAACAAACACUUAUUGGCCAACCUCGCCGCCGCCCGCGAGGGCCUUGCCAACCGUGAGGCAGGAGCUGCUCCCGGCAGGCCGGCAGACCCUGCCAGAAGACCUGGCUCUGCUUCCGGGGGGGACAGUGGCCAGGGAAGGGCCCCGGCAGGGGAAGGGCCGACACCUGCAUCCCGAGCAUCCCAGACAGUUCAUGUGCACAUGGGGAAACCGAGGUCCCCAGAGGUGAAGGGGGCUGGCUAGCCAGACAAAGGCAGAGGGAAACAGAGGCUCCUGAGCCCGAUGGGACGGGCUGUUGAGCAGCUCAGGGUGGCCAACUCCCUGGGGUCCUCAGAGGACCCCAGCAGGGGCUAGACACGGCCACAGGGAGGCCUCCGGCUCAGACGUCGGGGAUUUGGGCCCAAGCCUCAUCUCCGAGUCCUGGUACUGAGUCCUUGUUUGGAAGUAAGUGUUCACCUGGCCUGCAAAGCCCUCCUGCUACAGGGAGGGCUCCAGUCCUGCCCCCAGAACCCGGGCUAGGCCCUCUGGGUAGCCAUGCACACAGUGGGUGUGGGACAGCCACCAUUCCAUCCCUCAGAAAAGGAGAAAACCCCUAAGAACACUAACGCCGGCCCCUAAACUAAGACAGCCCCCUUCCUCCAAGUCCCCCAUUUCCCAGAGUGCCCACUCCGCUCCAGGUCUGGGCUUUCUCUUGGAAAGCAUUCCUCCUGCUCCCCCCAACAGCCUGGGGAGCCCUUGCACCUCCAACAUCCAAACUGGCCUCCAGCCCCAUCGUUGCUCUGUGGAGUAGCAGAGAUUAGGGCUCCUGGGAGGGGGGCGUGGCUUUUCCAGAGGGACCAUGAUGGAUCAUGAGGGGCCAGACUCUUCGCUCACCCCACAGGGUGCAGACGACUCAUGGGAACAAUGGAGGGCAAAGUUCGGGUCUAACUGCAUUGUGGGCUACAGUCCCUCCUCCCUCAUCAGUCCCAGAGACAAAGGAGCUCUGCCUUGUGAGAGCUCCAGGCACGCAAAUAACUCAGUUCAAGACGUAGCCUGGGGGGAAGCCAGGGUCCCGAUUGGUUCUGGCUUGUCCCCUUCUCGUGGUGGUCGGUUCCUUCUGGAGCCUCCAGUUUGGGAAAGAACUGAGGCCAGCCUUCAUUCUGUCCCCAGACUUCCCAGACUCCUCUCUCCCUCCAUAAGCCCGGCCCUUUCUCCCAUUGAUCUGUAUCUGAUGAAAAUGGGAAUAGCCUCCUUUUCUGGCCAUGAGCCUCCCACAGGGCCCUCGCCUUACCACCCACCCAGGAGAACUCCACAAGGGCACUAUCCCAUCGAGCUCCUUCCUCCCUUCGUCCUCCCCUCAUAUCCUGAAGGCAUCUUUCCCCCUCUUUGCUGAUCUGUCAGCCUCCCUUUAUCCAGAAGCCUCACUCCAGCCCUGAAUCUCACACAUUGGGGGCGCCCUCCAGCCUAGAGGCGUCCCCUUAAAGUGAUGGCUUCCCCCAGGCCCUCUCUGUAAGGAGAGCACCUGUGGGGAGCCGGCACUAAUCUACAGCCACAUAAGGCCAACCUUGAAUAGGUUGAAUCUCCUAAUCACAUUAUACCAAAGACUUCCUGAAUAGGAAUCUCCUAAUCACAUCCUAACUUUGAAUGGGCAGAUAUCUAGGCAUCCCCUAAUCACAUCAUAGAGCUUCCUGCCACCAGAAACAUCUGAGCAGCUCAUCCUUGGGCAGGAUACCAACCCUUUGUCAUGGACCCCCACCCUGUACUGUGUUUGAACAACCCUGACUUCUUUUCUACUGCUAUAUAUAUCUGUACUAUUGCACCCAUUAAAAUGAGGCUUGAUCAGAAUGAUUUGACUUGCCUCCCUUUUGCGAGUCCCCUCUCUCUUGCCCUUAUCUCUUUUCUUCCAGGAUCCACACACUCUGCCUCGCGCGAGGCAAGCACCCCCUGAGGCUCCUUCCUCAGGUGGCACUCCAGACUUCUGUCCUGCCCCCCCUCAUGUCCCCCACCUCUUCCCUUUGAAACUUCUCCCAUUAGAGUAUAAGCUCCUUGGGAGCAAGGCCCAUCUCGAUUUUUGCCUUUAGCUGGUGCCCAGAACACAGGAAGUGCCUAAUGAAUAUUUGUUGGCUGGCUCACUCCUGUGGUUCUGGGGUACAGGUUUAUGCUCCUUUCUUGGUCAGAGUUACAGGGUUAGGAAUACUCUGCCUGUGGGAUUCUUCCUAAUCAGAGAUCAAUUGUUGGAGGGGAUGUGGGAAAACUAGGACAUUGAUGCAUUGUUGGUGGAGUUGUAAACGAAUCCAACCAUUUUGGAGAGUAGUUUGGAACUAUGCUCAAAAAGUUAUCAAACUGUGCAUACCCUUUGAUCCAGCAGUGUUACUACUGAGCUUAUAUCCCAAAGAGAUUGUAAAGAAGGGAAAGGGACCUGUAUGUGCACGAAUGUUUGUGGCAGCCCUGUUUGUAGUGGCUAGAAACUGGAAACUGAAUGGAUGUCCAUCAGUUGGAGAAUGGCUGAAUAAAUUGUGGUGUAUGAAUAUUAUGGAAUAUUACUGUUCUGUAAGAAAUGACCAACAGGAUGAUUUCAGAAAGGCCUGGAGAGACUUGUACGAACUGAUGCUGAGUGAAAUGAGCAGGACCAGGAGAUCAUUCUAUGCUUCAACAACAAUACUAUAUGAUGACCAGUUCUGAUGGAUCAGGCCAUCCUCAGCAACGAGAUCAACCAAAUCAUUUCUAAUGGAGCAGUAAUGAACUGAACCAACUAUGCCCAGAGAAAGAACUCUGGGAGAUGACUAAAAACCAUUACAUUGAAUUCCCAAUCCCUAUAUUUAUGCCCACCUGCAUUUUGGAUUUCCUUCACAAGCUAAUUGUACAAUAUUUCAGAGUCUGAUUCUUUUUGUACAGCAAAAUAACAGUUUGGUCA